UACGUAGGGCGCAAGCGUUGUCCGGAAUUAUUGGGCGUAAAGCGCGCGCAGGCGGCCUUUUAAGUCUGAUGUGAAAGCCCACGGCUCAACCGUGGAAGGUCAUUGGAAACUGAAAGGCUUGAGUACAGAAGAGGAAAGCGGAAUUCCACGUGUAGCGGUGAAAUGCGUAGAGAUGUGGAGGAACACCAGUGGCGAAGGCGGCUUUCUGGUCUGUAACUGACGCUGAGGCGCGAAAGCGUGGGGAGCAAACAGG
rnacentral:rRNA from 1 species